GACCCCGUAGCAUAUGGUAUGCAGCCGUCCUCCUUGCCAUUUUGCGAAGGUAUUUCUGGAUGUGGAAGAACCCGGUUCGAUUCCGGGCGGGGUCU